AAUAAAUUAUGGGUGUAGAAUUUGAAACAACUCAUAAAUUGUGUGUUGUCAUCAGCUUCUCUUUCAUAUUAUGAGCUUGGAGUCAAAAAAGGGCACCACAUCU